rnacentral:misc_RNA from 1 species
AAUGUUGGUCAGAAGAUUUGCAAAAUCACGACGUGCCUGAAAAAGAUAUUUCUGAACGUCAAUAAUCAAGAAACUUUUUAAAGGUUGUUGGAAAUAUUCGAUAUUUUUUAAAUUCAGCGAAAUUCGAAGACUGUUAUCUUAAUUAAACUGAAGGGGAAGAAGUUCCAGGAGCGUUGGAAUCGUUAUUUUCGCGACGCCAUUUUGUAUGAGCCGGUGAUUUUACCCUAUAGUUGUCAAAAUUUUUCGUGAAUUUAAACAAUUUUCUUUAUCCAGUGAUUUUUCUCGGCGACUCGGACCCAGUCCGUAGCUCAUCUACAAUUUACGGGUUUAUUUAAAAUGAUUGCCUAGUCCACAACAUAAACAAUGACUGUUGCAACUCGGGGACAAGAAGUGGCUGAGGAAAAUAAGGAAACCCAGAAUCCCACUGCAGGCCCAUCAAACAUUAUAGAAGAUCUACAAGAUGAAAAUGCAGAGCCGGAGUUUCCAAAAGAAAAACUAGCCACUUUAGAAGACAAAAUUACUCACACAAGAUGGGUGGUUCCUGUAUUACCUGAUCAGGAACUUGAAGUUUUACUUAAAGCAUCCAUAGAUUUAGCAAAGAAGAACUUAGAUAUUAAAUCAGAAUCAUGUCAGAGAUUCUUUCGAGAGGCCUUAACCAUGUCCUUUACAAAAAUACUUACCGAUGAUGCAGUUUCUAGUUGGAAAGCCAAUAUUCAUAUGUGCAUUUACCAGAAUUGCUUAAAAUUAAUUGAAUUAUGUGUAACAAAACUGCCACAUGACUGGUUUCCUUUAUUGGACCUUUUAGCUAUGGUAUUAAAUCCAAAUAACAAAUUUCAUAGUUUUAAUUCAUCAAGGCAGAGCGAGUCUGCCGGACCAGGAUGUAUUUUAAGUGAGGAGGAGCUGUUUGCCAGACCUUCACAAGACCCCAGAAACCCGAGGGGGUGGCUGGUUGAUUUCAUAAAUAAAUUCGGAGAACUUGGAGGUUUUCAGAAGCUUUUGGAGAGGUUUCAAAGUGGCAAAAACCUGACUGUAUCUGUGGUAUAUGCUCUGUUGAUGCCUUUUGGACUCUGCUAUGAAUUUCUAACUCCUCAUACAAUUCACAAAUAUGUGCUGCCCAUAUUGGAAAUGGUUCCAGAUAUUCUAAACAAAUUAACAGAUGAAGAAUUAAAAAGGGAAGCUAAAAGUGAACAAAAAAGCGACAUAGUAUCUCUGAUAAUAAGGUCGGCCAAGCAUUUGGCUUCCAGGGUUCAAGAUCAAGAAGAGCUGAUAAGAACGUUGGAAGGUUUUAGAUUAACCAUGAUCCUUAGACAGCUGCAGAUAUCUAGUUUUAAUGGCAAAAUGAAUGCACUUAAUGAGAUCAAUAAGGUUAUUUCUAGUGUAACUUAUUAUCCUAAUAGGCACCAUGGUAUUGAGGAGGAGGAAUAUUUAACACCUGAGAGAAUGGCGAAAUGGAUUAAUGACAAUAAAGUCUUAGAAAUAGUUCUUAGAGACUCCUUGCACCAACCUCAGUACGUUGAAAAACUGGAAAAAAUCCUCAGAUUCGUUAUAAAAGAAAAAGCUUUAAGUUUAAGUGACUUGGAUGCCGUUUGGGCAGCUCAAGUGGGCAAACAUGAGGCCAUAGUAAAAAACGUCCACGAUCUCUUGGCUAAACUAGCUUGGGAUUUUAGCGCCGAACAAUUAGACCACUUGUUCGAGUGUUUUCAAAACAGUUGGACAUCGGCCUCAAAGAGGCAAAGGGAAAGACUGUUAGAAUUGAUUAGGAGACUUGCGGAAGAUGAUAAGGAUGGAGUGAUGGCUCAUAAAGUGUUGACGUUAUUUUGGAACCUGGCACACGCCGAAGAUGUUACCACUGAAAUUAUGGAUCAGGCCUUAGCUGCGCAUAUAAAGAUUUUGGAUUACAGUUGUUCACAGGAAAGAGAUGCCCAAAAAACUAUUUGGCUAGAUAAAUGUGUGGAUGAACUAAAGCACAGCGAUCAGUGGGUUUUACCGGCUCUCAAACAAAUUCGCGAAAUUUGCACUCUUUACGAACAAAAUCCAAACGGGAGUCAUCCCCAAAGAGCCCAUCACAUUUAUUAUAGACAGGAGGUGAUCGAGCGAUUGCAAAACCAGCAUUCUUUAGUUAUUUUAGUGACUAAUAGUUUGGCAACUUACAUGGAAGAUUUGAGAAAUCUUUACAAGGAAAAUCCGAGCUUGACUGCGGAAACGUAUGUGCCAGACGGCCGGUAUUGCCAUAAUUUACAGGUACAAGAAAGGCUCAAUUUUCUUAGAUUUCUUUUAAAAGAUGGCCAACUGUGGCUCUGUGCGGACCAAGCCAAACAAAUUUGGCAAUGCCUGGCGGAAAACGCGGUAUUUCAAUCGGACCGAGAAGCCUGUUUUCGUUGGUUUUCGAAACUAAUGGGCGAGGAGCCCGAUCUGGAUCCGGGCAUUAACAAAGACUUUUUUGAGAAUAACAUUUUAAAAAUCGAUCCGGUUUUACUGACUGAGAGCGGGAUUCGAUGUUUCGAACGGUUUUUUAAGGCGGUUAAUAUUAAGGAAAACAAACUGAAGCUUAAAAGGAGAAGCAUCUUGACCGAGGAUCCUGCUCUGAUCGGGAUCGACUACUUGUGGAAGGUGGUUACGCUAUGCCCUGAUGAUAUUGCCGCGAGGGCAAUAGAACUUUUAAGAGAAGUAAGCACGAAUUUAGGACCGAAAUUGCAGCAAAACCAGGUGGAAUUCCACGAGCAGUAUAUUGCGGAGUGUUACGACAGACUUAGGGCGCAUUAUGAUACAGUUACCAUUCUUCAAAAAUCUAUAGCUGAUAAGGAAUUGGAUUCUGCUCAGGUGCCUGACCGGAUUCGUUCCGAGGCCGUUAAAAUGUGUCGAGUUAUGAAAGUGCUUCAUGAGUACAUAAAUGAAUGUGAUAAUGCAUUCGUGGGAGAAAGGAAAAUAUUGCCUUUGCAUCGGGCUUGCUAUGGUAAACAUUUAGCACUGAUCGUACGUUUUUCAAGUAUAAAUCGUCAAGUGGAAGAUUUGGAGUUGCACACUCAUACAAAUGACACCUUAGCCUCCUUAAGAAAAUCGAUUUUGAGGCGAAUUAAACCGGGGGGUCACUGUAAACUGGAUAUAUUUAUAAAUGGUGAACCGUUAGAGGCGGCAGAUGAUAAAAAGUUGCUGUCGCAAAUACCAAUUAGGGAUAAGAUGAUAAUCUCAGCAAAAGUGAUUCAAGUAAACUCCAACAUGGCCUCGUCGCAGGAUAGCAGCUCGGACAGCUCGACGUCGUCACCUCAACAUUUGUACGACGGUCCAAACGCGGACGUGGAAAGUCUCCUGCCGGGCGUUUUGAUGGCUCAGAACGCGGUUUACGCGCAGUUUUUUUGCCAGCUAAUGGAGCUGGGCAGUCAGAUGAACUUUCCCGCUUUAAGGCACGGCGGACACGGUCUGCUGAAACUAAUGCCCUGCGAUAUGGUUACAAUGGAGAAACUGAAGGCGCUCUUCGCUACGCCUGGCGAACAGAAUAAUGUCACUAUGGACAGUUUGUUUUUUAGGCCUGUCUCUGCCGAGGUCCUCUAUAACUUAGAAGUGCUUUACGCUAUGUUAAUGCCCGCGAUGGACACGAUCUCGGAGAAAACCUAUGAGUUCCAGUACUCGUUUAUAACCUCCGGCGAAGUUCACAUUUUUCUCGAAAUGCUUACGAAGAACAAUUUCAUGUCUAACGCCGACAGUAUAACGAGACGAUCCGCCUAUCUGGUCGUGUUGAAAAUAUGCAAGCUCAUCUUGACAUCCGUGGCUCACGUUUUAGUGAGACUGAGCGAGGACCAUACUCCUCCUCCGGAAAACGAGGGACUGAGCGAGAACACGACCACACCUGGAAUGCACCUGAGACAGGCGUUAAGAAGCGUACCCGGCCAUUCGGAUUAUCUGUUACGCCAGGUGUCGAUGAAACUUUCCCAAGGUUUAGCUCAACUAAUGGUAGCCGAAACUGGCAACAACUCCGGGUUGGCUCAAGCGCUAUUCAACCAGGCCUUGAAUUGGGAAUUGCCAGAUCUGGCAACGACGUUGGCUCUCGUGAGACUAGUGUGGGCGGCAAGUAGUGACAAUUUGGGUGCCUUAAAUUCUUCGCCGGAGACGUUGCACUCGCUAUCGGAUCCUAAUAAGCACGACAACCCGGUAGAGUUGGACACCGAGGAUAUUUUGUUGUGUAAGGAGGCGUUGGAGCUGCUCAGCACCGCGGUGGUGUUAAAUUCAAGCAGUUUGGAGCAUCUUUACCAGGAUAAUUGGUGGCCAGAUUUUAUAACUGAUUUGGUCCUGUUAAAUCCGAGUUGCGCGGUACGGGUGGCCGCAGCCGAGCAGCUGAUAGUGAUAUGUACGUGUGGUGCCGCCAGUCGAUUAGCCUUGCAACUUAUCAUGCCUCUACUUUUUUCACUUCUCGACUCUAUGGUUAUAGAAUACGCGAAUAUUUCCAGGGAGUAUUUUCAACUGCUCUGUAGGUUGGUUAGCGUCGCCUACUUGACCGGAUGUCCGUUAAACAACGCGGAAGUUUUACUUGCGAAUGAGGUUGCUUGGCUGCGUAGUGCCCGUGACAAGAAUGAAGUAUUAAUCGAAGGGCACUUGGGUCUCGCGAAGGAACUGCUCAGUUUCAUGACGCCCGAACAAAAAUGCGAACUGGGCAGCGCGGAAUCCGGAAGUUUGAUACGGGAACUGUUGGAAGAUUUUUUGUUUCCCGCGAGUAAAUUGGAACUGCUUCUGGCCAAAACGAAGCAACUGGGAGAGGAUCCGGCCAUACCCAUUUGCGAUACUCCGCAGACGCAGGCGGCCGCUUUUGACUUGCUGAUUUCGCUAUGCGUGAAUUGCGUGCCGAAUUAUAAGCAACUGGUCAAUAUGCUCACCGAGAUGUUUUAUUCGGACCCAGAUUCGGCAAUAACCGAGUGGGACUACUUACCAGCGGUCGGACCUAGACCGUUUCGGGGCUUCGUGGGUCUGAAAAAUGCGGGCGCUACUUGCUACAUGAACUCGGUACUACAACAGUUGUACAUGGUCGAAAAUAUAAAGCAAGGUUUAUUGGCGGCGGAAGGUGCCGCGACCGACCCUAACGAGGAUUUUACCGGGGAAGAACGGAUGGAUUUGGAUAUAGAUUGCACCGAUGAUAGAAAUUGUGUGGAUGGCAAUCGCAAAGAUUACAACGUUGGGAUUUUAAAACAGGUUCAAGCAAUCUUCGGGCAUCUAGCCUGCUCUAGGCUACAAUAUUACGUCCCUAGGGGCCUGUGGCGCCAUUUUAAACUGCAAGGGGAGCCGGUCAAUUUACGGGAGCAGCAGGACGCGGUGGAGUUUUUUAUGUCUCUAGUCGAAAGUCUGGACGAAGCUUUAAAAACGCUGGGCCACGAGCAGAUCAUGUCCAAGAUCUUGGGCGGGUCCUAUAGCGACCAGAAAAUUUGCAAGGGGUGCCCGCAUCGAUAUUCCAAAGAGGAGCCUUUUAGUGUUAUUAGUGUAGAUAUUAGGAAUCAUAGCAGUUUGCCAGAGUCAUUAGAACAGUAUGUUAAAGGUGAAUUAUUAGAGGGAGCGGACGCGUACCAUUGCGAAAAGUGUGCGAAAAAAGUGGUGACGGUCAAACGAUUGUGCGUGAAAAAACUGCCUCCGGUCUUGGGUAUUCAGCUGAAGCGGUUCGAGUACGACUUCGAGCGGGUGUGUGCCAUUAAGUUUAACGAUUACUUUGAAUUUCCUCGGGAACUGGACAUGGAGCCCUAUACGGUAUCCGGCCUGGCGAAGAUCGAGGGAGAGAUAAUAGACUGUGAUUUAGACCCUAGUACCAGUGACGUUUGUACUAAAUAUAGGCUUAGCGGGAUUGUCGUGCAUUCAGGACAAGCUUCGGGUGGACACUACUACUCUUAUAUCCGACAUCGAGACCCGUCGGGUGAAGUAAGGUGGUACAAAUUCGACGACGGAGAUGUUUUAGAAUGUAGAAUGGGCGAGGACGAAGAAAUGAAAAUCCAGUGCUUUGGCGGUGAUUAUAUGGGGGAAAUGUUCGACCCUAUGCUAAAGCGCACCACCUAUCGCCGUCAAAAGAGGUGGUGGAACGCCUACAUGCUGUUUUACACCAGGCAUGACGUCGAAGAAGAACAACUAGUUAAAUCUUUUACACAACUAAGCUUAUCAUCUUCCAGAAAAGAAACUCACCUAAAAAUGCCGAUUGCGAUCGAGAAUAGCAUUAGGAAGCAGAAUAUCAAAUUUUUACAUCACCGAAGUCAGUUUACCGUGGAGUAUUUCGCGUUUAUAAGAAAAUUAGCGACCAGUUGUGCUCAAACGAACGUGCGGCACAGUCAAAGUUUCUCUAACGAGCUUUUAGAACAGCAGUACCUGUUAAGUGUUCAGUUGGUUAGUAAUUUUUUGUUCCACACCGGCUGGCAUACUAAGAAAAACCUUCGAGGACCGGCAAUGGAUUGGUGCGAUGUUUUAUGUCUCCAUUUACGAUCGUCCCCGACGAUACGUCAGUGGUUCGGCAUAAAUAUUCUCUUCAACCAUAUGGGUCGAUUUUGCGAAUAUCUUCUUAGCUGUCCCAGUAACGAGGUACGGACCGCGUUCAUAAAGAUCGUGGUGUUGCUCGCGCAUUUCUCGAUUAAGGAUCCCCCUUGUCCGUGUCCGCCGGGCAUCAACAAUCCGGAUCCGAACGCGACUUUGAGCGAUCACGUCAUCGGGUCGCUGUUGGCGUUGUUACAGCGUGAAGUCAGCGAACACGGACGCCACCUGCCGCAGUAUUGUUCCGUGUUUCAUAUGUAUGCCAAUCAGGGAAUCCACGAAAAAGCGCAACUCUUACGACUGAACCUACCCGCAACGUUUAUGUUAGUGGCCUUAGAUGAAGGACCAGGACCCGCGAUCAAGUACCAGUACACCGAGUUGGGAAAACUAAACCAGUUGGUCUCGUGUUUGGUCCGAUGCUGUGAUGUUAGUUCUAAGUGUCAGUCAAGUACUGGAGGUCCGAUUUUGCCGAACCCGUUCAGGGAAUCCAGCAUACCGGACUACAUUAUGCCUCUGUCGCCUCAGGCGUCUGAAAUAUUGUUUAAUAGGAUUAGCUAUAUAAAAAAAGUGAUCGAAGAUACGAACCUAACAGACGAAGCGAUCAAGUUACUUCAGUUUUGUUCAUGGGAAAAUCCUCAGUUUUCAAAGAACGUCCUUUCAGAAUUACUGUGGCAGAUAGCGUUCGCUUAUUGUCAGGAACUGAGGCAUCACAUCGAAAUAUUAUUGUCGGUACUUUUGAUUGAGGAUUCGUGGCAGUCACAUAGGAUACAUGACGCAAUUAGAGGUAUUGCAGAAGAAAGAGAAGGCUUAUUGGAAACAAUAACUAGGGCAAAGAUUCAUUAUCAAAAGAGGGCUUAUCAGUGUAUAAAAUGUUUGGUUGCUCUGUUCAACAAAUGUCACGUAGCUAGAAAUAUGUUAAUGGUACAGGCUGAUUUAAGAAGACCUUGGGCGUCGGCAGUAUCGUGGUUACAAGACGAGCUCGAGCGAAAAUACCCGCCAAACUCCCAGUACGCGUACAACACGUGGUCGCCUCCGGCCCAAAGCAACGAAAAUUCCAACGGUUACUUCUUGGAACGGUCGUCCAGUGCGAAAAAGACGUUAGAGAGGGCGCUCGAGUUGAUGCCGGAGGUGGAAAGGGUGGAGGAUGAAGGGGUCGAAGAUCCGGAGUCGCAGGAGGAAACUGGGGGUCACGUCAGCGACGAACAGACGUUGUUAUGAAUACCGGUCGAGUGACUAGUCGUGUUUAUGAUUGAAUCUGCAAAAGCCACUAAGCCAAAAAAAUAUCUGCGAUGCCUCUGGAAGUGCCGAAGAUCUGUACCCAAUUUAUUUGUGAUAUGACGGAGUGCUAAUAGAAGUUUUUUUCGUAUUACUAACAAUGAACGAAGCCGAAAUUUAGUGCAGACAGUUUAGAUAUCUAGACGAGGAUAUGCUAUUUUUUAAGUUCGAAAGUGUGUUAAAGAGUGCAGAAAAUAGAGAAAUAUUUUUUGGUCAGUUGCCUCCUGUUUAUCAUACAUAUAUAGGCCCAGUAGGGAUUACGAAUUGAUUUCGUCGCGUAAUCAACAUACAUAUAAAUAAACGCAAUGCACCUCACUGAAAA